GCAUCUAUUAAAUUCUCAUAGUCCUCUCAACCGCCUCUUCAAAAAAGUCUCUUUCCUUCACCCUUUAUUUUUGUUUUGUUUAGUUUCCACACAUCUUAUGAAGAGAAACAAAACAUAGUAAACCAAACAACAAAUGAUUCGAUUUCGACUUCUUUGCCUCUUUGUUGUUCUCUUCACUCUUGUUUGUGUUUUCUCCAAAGCCCCAAGCACUCAUGCUGCUGGAAGACGAAGCUUUUUCUCAGGACCUUCUAGAAGAGAGAGAGGGUUCUCACACUCUUAUGCCACACGUGUAAUCGGCUCUGGACAAUUCAAGCCGGAGAAGAGAAAGAUUCCGACGGGGUCAAACCCUUUGCAUAACAAGCGAUAAUAAAGGGUUUAUUUAUAUGCCGGCAACAAAGAAUAUUUUAGUUUCCUUUUUAUCUUUUGUUUUGGGUCUCUCUCCCUCUCCUUGUUUUUAAACUGGAGAAUAUAUGUAAAAUUUCUAAAUAUAUAAACUUAUGUGAUGUAUACAUACUCCCAUAUAACUGGAGUAGCUAGGAGUUUUCUAAACGUAAAUUUAAGGAUUCAGAUCGAUUGCAAUUGAUCAUAUGAUGUUUAUGUAUGUAGAAGUAAGUGUUGUAUAGUUUGUGUAAUUGUGUUCUAAAAAUUAUGAUUCCUUUUUUUCCAUCAAUUAUGAUUCCUUAUAUGGUUAAAUAACACACAUAACAUGAUUUUUUUGUUUAAUCGUACCAUACUAUAGUUAGCAAAGAUAUGUUUGAUCAAAGAUGAUUUUCUGUUUACAGCUAAUAUAUUUUACUGUUUAAAGACUAUUAUUUAAAAUAAUUUCAUCUGCUUGAGAAUAACAAAUUUCAAUGGCUGCAAGGGCCUGAUAGCUCUGUCAAGGGCUACGUCCUUGCGAGUUAGGAAUUAGUCUAUUCUCUGCAAUCACUGUUAAAUUAUCUUCUGCACGUCCAUAAAAAUAAAAUUUCAAUAAUUAGCGGAUCGUUACCAUAAUAUAAACAAUAUAUAAGAGUGGGAAAAUUUUAAAAUUUGAUGUUGAUUCUUAAUUAUUAUGGAAAUAGAAGAAGAAGGAUAAAAUAAUUGUUAUAUUUGUUGAUGUAGAAAAUUGUGGUUUAAUGAUUUGGUUUAUGGUUAAUGAUGGAAAAUAAGCCUGUAAGAUUGACUACUCCAAUCAACUUUAUGAAAAUCGAGCUUUUAUCUAAAAAGAAACGUGACUAGAUUAUCUCAUUUUAGAUAAAAGCUCGUUUUUCAUAAAGUUGAUUGGAGUAGACAAUUUUUUUUUUUUUAAACUUUGAUAUGGAGUAGACAAUCUUACAGGCUCAUUUUCCAUCAUUAUGAAGAGAAACAAAACAUAGUAAACCAAACAACAAAUGAUUCGAUUUCGACUUCUUUGCCUCUUUGUUGUUCUCUUCACUCUUGUUUGUGUUUUCUCCAAAGCCCCAAGCACUCAUGCUGCUGGAAGACGAAGCUUUUUCUCAGGACCUUCUAGAAGAGAGAGAGGGUUCUCACACUCUUAUGCCACACGUGUAAUCGGCUCUGGACAAUUCAAGCCGGAGAAGAGAAAGAUUCCGACGGGGUCAAACCCUUUGCAUAACAAGCGAUAAUAAAGGGUUUAUUUAUAUGCCGGCAACAAAGAAUAUUUUAGUUUCCUUUUUAUCUUUUGUUUUGGGUCUCUCUCCCUCUCCUUGUUUUUAAACUGGAGAAUAUAUGUAAAAUUUCUAAAUAUAUAAACUUAUGUGAUGUAUACAUACUCCCAUAUAAUUGGAGUAGCUAGGAGUUUUCUAAACGUAAAUUUAAGGAUUCAGAUCGAUUGCAAUUGAUCAUAUGAUGUUUAUGUAUGUAGAAGUAAGUGUUGUAUAGUUUGUGUAAUUGUGUUCUAAAAAUUAUGAUUCCUUUUUUUCCAU
rnacentral:lncRNA from 1 species